rnacentral:lncRNA from 1 species
GAAGAGAGAGCUUAUGCCAACUCCUCGUAUUAUGGGCGAUAUGAUGGUUCUUGCAACCGGUGAAGUCCUUAUCCUUAAUGGUGCUAAAAGAGGAGCUUCUGGUUGGGGUUUUGCUCGCGAACCUAAUUUUACUCCAGUUUUGUAUAGCCCAACUGCUGAUAGAGGAGCAAGAUUCACUGAGCUAGCACCAUCCACCAUACCCAGAAUGUACCAUUCAACCUCCACGGUUUUACCUGACGGAAAAAUCCUUGUCGCUGGUAGCAACACAAACAAUGGAUAUAUUUAUGAUGCUAUGUACCCUACUGAGCUGCGUGUGGAGAAAUACUCACCACCUUACUUAAACGCUGCCGUUAUACAGAAAAGACCAGAGAUUGUGACCUUCAAUGAGCAAAUGACUUAUGCUCAGAAUAUUGAUAUUGAAGCCAAGAUAGCAGGUGACAAAGUGCAAAAGCAAAAUGUGUGUGUUACUAUGUACUCUCCUGCUUUUACUACUCAUGGAGUUAAUAUGAAUCAAAGGCUUAUCGUGUUGGGAGUAAAAGAGGUCAUCCCUGCCAAUGGAAACUUCAAAAUUUCCGCCACUGCACCAAUUUCUAACGCCGUUGCUCCUGUCGGAUAUUAUAUGCUCUCGGUUAUUUUUGAGGGAGUACCUAGCAUUACCAAAUGGGUUCAGAUCAAGUGAAAUAAUUCUUCACGAGAAUUCUUUUUGAAAUUUUGUAUUAAUUGUUUUGGUAAUAUUUUAUUCUUUUAUUAUGUUAGUAUUUUGAAAUAUUUAUCUUCUUUGAUUUAAUAAAAACAAAUUUUGAUAUUAUUUCCCAUCUUUAGUUGUCUGCGCCACAUAUUCUUCUAUUUAACUUUAUUAUUAAGGUAUUCUUUUAUUGCCAUUGAAUUAUUUUUAUUAUUGAUUUUAGUUUUUUUUUUUAAAUUUUGGUUCUAGGGUUGAUUUUAAUUCUAGGUUUGAUUUUAAUUUUAGAUUUGAUUUUCAUUUUAUGAAUUACAUAAAAAUUCACAUAAAUAUUAAAAUAUACAAUAGUAUUAUAAAUUUAUAAUUCAAUUAUUUAUUAUUGGUAAUAUGUUUAAAAUUUAACAACUUAAAAAAUUUUAGAAUUCUAAAUCUAUUGAAAACAAAAUAUAAUAUUUAAUCUAUCCCAAAAGAUGAACUUAACAUUAUAACUCAUGGUUCUAUUUUAAUAUUUUUUAAAAAAUUAUAUGAAAUUAAAUUGAUUUAAUCUUUUUAUUCAAAGCUGAUUUUUUUUUUUUACUGUAAAUGAGAGUAUACAAUGUAUUUUCCAAAUUUAAUUUGUUUGACUAAAAUUUACGACCAUCUAGAAAAUAUUUUUAAUAAUAAUAUUGUUAAAAUUUAAAAAUUAAAGAAAUAUAAUCUAAAUAAAAUUAUUAAACAAAUUUUAUAUUUAAAUAAUUUAAAAUUUUUGAAAUUAAUAAUAAUUUAAUCUUUAUGAUGUUGUUUUAAAAGUUUUAACUUUAUGAAAUGCUAAUCAUGCAUGCAUAAUACUCAUAUGGCAUCGUAUGAAAUGAUGAAUUUUCGAACUUCAUAAGAAAAAAUUUUUGGUCCGUGACUGUUUGUUAUGUUCUAAUAAUAGUGUUGUUUGGCCAUUGUUAAUCGAUUAACAGUUUUCCUUCUAUCAUAUAUAGGGACAGAUUACAGUGCAUGAUGUUAAUAAUUCUGCACCCAUAGGAAAUAAUUAAUUGCCAUUAGAUUUUAUUGUUUAAAAUCUAGCCAUUCGAUGCUAGAAUAAGAGAAAAACCAACUACCUCUUGUAUAGGUAAAAGAAAUUCCUAUUUAGUUUAAAAAUAAAAAUGAUUGCUUAAUUACUAUUAAAUAUUUAUUUAUUAACCCAAAAUCAAUUUCAUCAACUUUAUUUUUUGAAGGCCUACUUUUAUUUGUAUAGAAAAAAUUUAAAUCACAUAUAUAUAAAUUUUUAUAAAUUUAUAUCAUUAAAUAUUUUUUUUUAUUCUCCUAAUGAAUAUAUUAUUAUUAACCGGUUAAUUUUAUUAUAUUAAAUAUUUAUAUUAAUAAUUCAUUAUUAGCUAUUAACUUUUAUAAAAGUAAUUGUGUUAUCUUAUUAAAUUUAAUAUUUUAAUUUACACAUCAUUUACUUUAUCUCAUUUAAUUAUUUUUUUAAAUUCUCCUUUACUUAAUUUAUAAUAUUAUAAUAAAUAUUUAUGAACUAACGAACGUGGUUAAAUUCUUUUCUUACUUAUGAGAAUGUUGUUAAAAUUAUUAAAAUAAAUAAAAAUUAAUUUAUAAAAAAUAUUUUCUAUCCAAAUGAAAUUGAAAAAAUAUAUAAUUAAAAACAAUGAUAUGUAUUUUUUUGAACAGUAAUUUUAAAAAAUAUUUUUUAUAUUAAAAGAAGAAAAAUAAAAAUUUACAAAGAAUAAAAAAACACUUACGAUUAGAUUGGAUGAAAGGAGGAAGGAAUCGUUAAAGUAAGCUAUAAUAUGGUACGAAAAAGCACGAUAAAUGUCUUUUUUAUAUUUGUGGAGAAAGUAUGAUAAAUGAAUAUUUAAUAUCAUUGUUUUAUUUAGUUUGAUAACAGAGGAAUAAAAUGUUAAAUAUAAAUGUUACAAAAAUACCUUUGUCAUGAAAGAUUUAUAAAUAUAAUUAUGAAUAGUUUUAAAAAUUAAAAUUUUUAACUAUAUUUACACUUCAAUUCAGGGUGUUAGAAAAUUGGAGUAUUUAAAUGAAUUUUCAACCUCUCAAAUAACUUUUUAACUCUCUAUCAAAUAAUCUUCAUACAAAUAAUCUCUUAUAUAACUAAUGGGAUGUACCUGCUAUAGUAAGUUAGGAUGCUAAAUGACAAAAAAUUAUAGUUUUUCUGUCAAUACAGUAGUAAAAGCCUCGUGUAUAAUUGCUUUCGAGGAAUAUUUUUGAAAAAAAACACGCGGUCGUCGAACGGCUUAAAAAGAGAUUGCAAUUUACACGUAAGUUAAGUAACGACGUCGUUAGAGAGUCAAAUAAGUAUGUUCAUCUCUUGCCUUUGGUUCCAGGCAAAUACGCAGAAUUUGCGCGGAGCUGAUAUGGUAAUGAUCAGAGUUAUUGCUUUUAAACUCCAAACAGACACAGAUCAAAAUAUUGAUCUUUCAAUUACGUUUUAAUUAAAAAAGUUUUGUGACACGAAAAUUGUAAGGUGAAUAUCGCCUGGAACACAAAAUAGCACUCUGUACUAUAACAGGAUAGCUAAAUUAGGGAGAAAAUGGAAGCAUUAUAUACAAUCACGUAAUACAGAGCCAAACAACAAAUACAAUAAAACCCUUAUCCAACAACCAACCCAAUCCGGUUCUCUUCCCCUAAAAGCAUCCGAAAAUAGCUGUAGCAGCAAAAGGUCUCGCGUUUAUAAUGGGAACAUCCAGAGAUAUCAUCGGUCGCUCAGGAGAGCGAGGAAAGUAGCGGAAGCUGAGAGAUUGAGCAAGUUUUUAAGUGGAGAUUAGUUUUUCGUGAAGCUUUGGUGGGUUUACGGAAGAGGAGGAGAAUUGGAUCAAUGGCUGUUCGCUAAAUAAGGAACGACUUCUCUGUUUUAUCGCAUCCUACUAACAACUUCUUGUACCUAUAAAAGGCGUUAACACAGAAGGGAAAAGCAAUAAUCAGGGAGAAGAAGAAAAAUAAAAAAACAAAAAAAAAAUUAAAAAAGAAAAAAAGAGAGAAAAAAAAUAUUUUUGUAUAGCAAUGGCGAUAAUUUUCAAAAUUUUGUUACUUCUCUCUGUGUUGUUUGUUUCUGGUUAUGCUCAUGAAGAUGCUCAUGCAGUUCCCCAUGGAAAUGCUCAUGAAGUUCCCCAUGGAAAUGCUCAUGCAGUUCCCCAUGGAAAUGCUCAUGCAGCUGCUCCUCCUGGAGAGGAGUUGGAGAACUUGUGGGUAGAGAAAGACGCUUAUAAAAUUUUCAACCAGGAACAAGUAUUAGGUCCUCAUGAAAUGUUCGGAAAUCCUUUUGGUAAUCCGAACGAUUUCAAGGCGAACAAAAUACCUAACGAUUUUGGUACUCCAAUAAAGGGUGAUGAUGUGGCCGAAAUAACAGCCGAUGCAGUUGCUGCGGCACCGGCUGCUGCUGCUACUGGUAUCACUGCUACAGAUGAUGGUGGCGGUGCUAAAGGUGAAGCUGGCGCUGCUGGUGCUGUCGCUGGUAAUGCUAAAGCUGGUGGUGCGGCUUCUGUUGUUCCUAUGCCAGUUGAACUGGGAUACAAAGGGGAAUGGGAACUUGUCUCUGAAAAUUCUGGCGUCUCGUCUAUGCAUGCAAUAUUGCUUCCUAAAAUUGACAAGGUUUUGAUGUAUGAUGCUACCAUUUGGAAAAUUUCAAAAAUUGAAUUGCCUAAUGGAAAAUGUCGUGUUCUUGACCAAGCCACCGGUGAGAAAGAUUGUUGGUGCCAUUCUGUCUUAUAUGAUAUUAAGGACGGAAAACUUACCCCUCUCGAGGUACUAAUUAAUUAAUUAAUUUGAUGUUUCAUUUUAAUAACUAUUUAUUAAUUUCCCAUUUCAUAAUUCUAUUAUUUCUUGGCUGCAGCUCAAUACCGAUACCUGGUGCUCAUCAGGAGGUCUUGAUAUUGAAGGCAACUUGGUAAGCACCGGAGGAUUUCAAGGAGGUGCAAAUACUGUCAGGUACCUUGGCACUGCUGAAGGCAGCGAUUGGAGAGAGUAUCCAACUGCUCUUGCGGAUCGUAGAUGGUAUUUGAAUACAACUCUAGUACUUUGGGGCCAAAAGACCCAUAAAACAUAUAUCUAGAAAAACAAAACUAUGCUUAAUUUUUUAUAAUUUUUUUGUUAUUUCAGGUACUCGACACAGGCAACAUUGCCAGAUGGUGCAUUUAUCGUCGUAGGUGGCCGUGAUGCCUUUAGCUACGAGUAUAUUCCUAAGGAAGGGCAAUCCAAUCCCAAACCUUUCUUCUUUGAAUUCCUCCGCCAAACCAGUGAUCCAGAAGAAAACAAUCUGUACCCAUUUGUCUACUUAUCCACUGAUGGCAAUGUGUUCAUCUUUGCCAACAGUCGCUCUGUCUUGCUCAGCCCUACUACCAACCAAAUUGUCAAAGAAUUCCCAGAACUUCUUGGUGGUUCCCGUAGCUAUCCCGCUAGUGGAGCCUCCGUGCUCCUCCCAAUCAAAAUCCAUUCCCAGGAUCCCAAAGAGACUCUUCCAGCUGAAGUCUUGAUUUGCGGUGGCUCUGCACAUAAAGUUUCAUAUUCCAAAGCCGAAAAACAAAUCUUCUACGAAGCGCUUGAAGAUUGUGGAAGAAUGAGAAUCACAGCUAAAAAUCCUGUUUGGAAGAGAGAGCUUAUGCCAACUCCUCGUAUUAUGGGCGAUAUGAUGAUUCUUCCAACUGGUGAAGUCCUUAUCGUAAAUGGUGCUAAAAGAGGAGCUUCUGGUUGGGGUUUUGCUCGCGAACCUAAUUUCACUCCAGUUUUGUAUAGCCCAAGAGCUAAAAGAGGAACAAGAUUUACUGCACUAGCACCAUCCACCAUACCCAGAAUGUACCAUUCAACCUCCACUGUUUUACCUGACGGAAAAGUCCUUAUCGCCGGUAGCAACACAAACAAUGGAUAUAUUUACGAUGCUAUGUACCCUACUGAGUUGCGUGUGGAGAAAUACUCACCACCUUACUUAAACGCCGCCGUUAUACAGAAGAGACCAGAGAUUGUGACCUUCAAUGAGAAAAUGACUUAUGCUCAGAAUAUUGAUAUUGAAGUCAAGAUAGCUGGUGGCAAAGUGGAACAGGGAGAUGUGAAAGUUACUAUGUAUUCUCCUGCUUUUACUACUCAUGGAAUUAACAUGAAUCAAAGACUUAUCCAGUUGGGAUUGAGAGAGGUCGUUCCUGCCAAUGGAAACUUCAAAGUCGGAGCCAUUUCACCAAUUUCUAAUAAAGUUGCUCCCGUGGGGUAUUAUAUGCUCUCGGUUGUUUUCCAGGGAGUACCUAGCAUUACCAAAUGGGUUCAGAUCAAGUGAAAUAAUUCUGCAUGAGGAUUUUCUUCAUUGAAAUUUCGUUAUAAUUGUUUUUAUCGUAUAUUAUUCUUUUAUUAUGUUAUGUUAUUCUGUAAUCUGCAUCUUCUUUGAUUAUAAUAAAAACAAGUUUUGCUUGAUAAUUCUCAUCUUCAGCAAUUAGUGCCUCAUAUUCUUUAAUUUAAGUACUUCAUAAUUUUUAAUUACCUAUUUGAAAGAUUUAUUAGGCCAUUAUGAUCCAUUUAUCUAAUAAUUAACAAAGUAUUUUCAAGAAAGUUUUUUUCUUUAUCAUAUUUUUCAGCCAACUUGCUUUUUCUUUUUGUUUUUUUUAUUAGUAAUGGUCCCUCGUUAAAGAAAUUGUUUUUUAUCCUCUUCGCAAUAACUCUAAGAAAUUGAUUAGUAAAGUGUUUUCAAGAAAGUUUUUGUGAUUAGCGAUGUGUUUUUUCUUAACAGUUUUCCUUCUAUCAUAUGUCAAUAAUCCUUACCUUUUAUAACAAAUAAUUGAAAUUAACAUUUUCUAGAAAAUAAAAAAAAAUGCAAAGAUGCAAACGAGGGUCUCCCUAGCUUGCGAGUUGGAUAGUCUCGCCUGAGUGUCGAGUUUUGCAUUGUUUUAUCAUAGCUUCUAGUACAUCUCGAUCCUCUGAUAUUCAUCAGAGGCUGGUUCGACUUUCAAUCAGAGAGGAGGAAGAGGGAGGUUUGGAAGUGGAUGAGAAUGGUGUGGACAACGAACAAUCUAAACCUGACUACACACUGGUAGGAAGGUUCCCAACUGAUAGAAACAUGAACUUUCUUGCAAUGAAACAAACCCUGGCUUCCCUUUGGAAACUGGUCAUGGCAUCAACAUUAGGGAGGUUUCAAAGGACCUAUUUCUCUUUCAGUUCCUAGACGCCAUUAACAUGAAUAGAGUUGUGGAAAUGAGCCCCUAGACAUUUGAUCAACAUCUUCUCCUAUUUGAAACUCUGGGGUUAGAUGAACAAUCGCAUAAUGUGUCACGCCCGACUCUAAUCACUAGAGGAAUUGUCCGCUUUGGAUCAAGUCAAAUCCCCAUAUAAGAUUGGCAAGACCCGCACGGUUUUAUCUCGUAGGUGAAAUGAGAAACUUUCCAGGAGGUCACCCAUCUUAGGAUUUCUGUCAACUCUAAUCACUAGAGGAAUUGUCCGCUUUGGAUCAAGCCAAAUCCCCCAUAUAAGAUUGGCAAGACCUGCACGGUUUUGUCUCGUAGGUGAAAUGAGAAACCUACCAGGAGGUCAUCCAUCUUAGGAUUUCUGUUAAGCGAGCACGCUUAACCCUGGAGUUCUUCCAACUCUCCAGCCAUUCCACCAAAAGGCGCCUCUAAUGAUUAGUUUCCAUCUUUUCGAUAUUUGAUUUGAUUCAUUCAUGUGUCCCGCAUUCCACUACCCUAGCUAGCCUGCCAUCCUAGAAGCUAGCCAGGACCUUUGCUUUACCCGCCCUCUUAGGAUCGCUUUGCCAGGUCGGGAUGUCACAUAAUGUAUAGUUGUUCUGCACUCACAUCUGGCUAUAGGUUCAUGAUAUUCCUAACGUGUUUAUAAUACCAAAAGUGGCUCAAUGCAUAGGUAACUAUGUUGGGGAAUUAAUAAGUGCUAAUGAGUCUAACUUCUCAUGCUUGUGGCAACGAUUCAUACGGAUUCGCAUUCUAAUUGAUACACGAAUCCCCCUUAAACGGAGAAUAGGUAUUAGAAAACCUAGAGGAACAUGGUUAUGGUUGAAUUUCAAGUAUGAGCGGCUUCCUAAUUUUUAUUUUACCUGUGAAAUCAUCGGUCAUUCAAAGCAGUUUUGCAAUUAAUGGGCAGAGCAGUUAGGGUCUUCUUCUAAACGCCUAUUUGAACCUGAAUUCUGUGCUAAUUUUGACCAAAAUCAGUUGCCAGCCAGCGAUCAAUGGCUGUUUAUGGACUUUCCAUUGGUUGGUGUGCGGGUGGGUAGUUGUCCGAUAAGGGGCAGGAAAGUUGAGCAUGGGGAGCGGUUACAUUUUUCACCAACCACCUCCUCAACAAAAGUAGGGAGACGUGGGAAGCAAGUGGCUAUUGGUAAAAAGAAAGCAGUUAUGGCUUGUGAUCAGGAGCAGUUUCAUUUAGGUCGUAGCAACCUUCUUGGACCUCAUCUUACUAAUAUUGGGCCCACACACCUUGAUAAUGGGCUUAUGGUUUCCGAUUGUAAGCGUAGGAGAUAUGAGGAGGGGCAAGCCCAAUCAGCGGAUGUGGAUGAUAUGGUUGUUGCAAACUCGGCUGACUUGUCUGUUGUUCUAGUCCCGAUGGUCCUGGGGUCCAGGCCAACCGAGCAUUAUGAGUACUCUAUGUUGGAACUGUCGUGGGUGGGCAACCCACGCACAGUUCCAGUCCUUAAAGACAUGCUCUGUACAUACAAGCCUGCUUUUAUUUUCUUGAUUGAAACUAAAAUUAGUAAAUCUAAAGUUGAAGUUAUUUGUAAGGCCCUCGGCUUUGAGGGUUGAUUUUUUGUUGAUUGUAGAGGCUUAAGCAGUGGCUUGGCUCUUUUAUGGAAGAAUAAAAACACUACACAGCUCAUAAGUUAAUCUCGUUAUCAUAUAGACGUUUCAGUCCAUCUUCCUGAUCAAAUUGAAUGUGGCUUAUAGGAUUCUACGGGCAACCAGAUAGAAGUCGAAGAAAAGAGUCUUGGGAUUUGUUGAAGAUGCUAAAAUAUAAAUCAGCCUUACCUUGGUGUUGUAUGGGGGACUUCAAUGAUUUGUUAAGCAACUCGGAGAAGAGAGGUACUCACCCCCACCUGCAAUGAUUGUUAGAUGGAUUUCGAAAUGCUAUUCAAUCUAGCGGUUUGCAUGAUAUGGGAAUGUCUGGUUAUGAUUUCACCUAGGAGAAGGCUAGAGGGACAACGAUAUGGGUUAAGGAAAGGCUUGACCGCGUGUUAGCCUCUUCUUCUUGGCUAAACCAUUUUCCUAACUGGCAUGUUUUAAAUCUCCCGAUGAUCGCCUCAGAUCACUCCCCCCGCUUUUGAAGUCUAUAAUAGUUUGUUUGAGUUCCAGUUCGUGGCAUUUUCGCUUCGAAAAUCAAUGGUUUGGCGAACCAGAAUGUACUGCUCUAGUGGAACGCCUUUGGUAUUUACAUACUCAUCUUUUGGUCGUGGAAAAAAUUAGGGAGUGCGGUAAGUAGCUUGCCGAGUGGGGUGGAGGCUUUCUUAAAAUGAAACGCCUGCAGUUGGUUCAAUUGAAAAGAAGAAUGGAUUCUGACAGCUUAUUUUGCAAGUGUACGAAUCGCUACAAGUAAUAUAUGAUGAGUAAGAUAUCGUUCCCACAAGGAUUGUAAACCAAGUACCAAAAUUGUGUUAUCUUGUUAUUAUUUAAACGAUAAUUAAGAGAUUUGUUGUCUAAAUGUAAAAUAAACAGGAGUCAAGUAAACAAAAAUUGAUUAAAAGAAAUCAAGAAAGUAAAGCUACUAGGGGUUUUGAUUUCACUUAACUCUAUCCAAUUUAUUUCAUUAGUUCAUUGAUCAAUUUAAUUAUUCAAGUAGGGGAAACAACCCAAAAAUCACUAACAAGCUCUCCCGAUGUAUUGUUAGCUAUUUUAACCCGGUCUAAUUACCUAUCUUCCAAGAGCGCAAUCAAACAUGAAUUAAAUCAUUAAGUUUUAUGAUUUGUUUUGUGAAUUCAUAACCUAAGGUCAUUAACUUAUGAAAACCCCCCAUGAGUCAAACCGUAUAGCUUCCGCAUCAAGUUAUUAUUCCCGUGUUAUUUAUUACCUUUUUUAUAUCAAAAACACUUCUUCCGAUAGUAAUUAAUGAAAUAAAUCAAUCCAAGGAGAAACUCUAUCUUGAAGCAUCAAGUUAAAUAAUAAAUUAUACUUUGAACAAGGAAAAACAAAUCCAAUAUUAUAAAUUGGAAUAGAAAUUAAGCUACAUCAAAUCUCUAGUAUGAGAGUUUAGUUCGACAUAGUAAUCAAAUAAAACUCAAUUAAACUUGAAAAUAAUUCUAUAAUCAAUAUGAAUGAUGAAAAGUAAAAAAAAAGAUUAAGAGUUUAGAGAUAAAAACUGGUUAACAAAUAACGUGGACGACUUCCUUGAAUCUUGACACAAAUCUUGANNNNNNNNNNNNNNNNNNNNNNNNNNNNNNNNNNNNNNNNNNNNNNNNNNNNNNNNNNNNNNNNNNNNNNNNNNNNNNNNNNNNNNNNNNNNNNNNNNNNNNNNNNNNNNNNNNNNNNNNNNNNNNNNNNNNNNNNNNNNNNNNNNNNNNNNNNNNNNNNNNNNNNNNNNNNNNNNNNNNNNNNNNNNNUAAAAUAUAGAAUUCUUGCUUGCACGGGCGUGUUGCUUGGCACGGCUUGGAGCGUGCCAGUCUUUGGAGGAUUAGAGGCUCUAGCACGGGCCGUGUUCCGUAGCAUGGCCUGGCAAGCUAGCGCGCACGGGCGUGCACGGCCUGGGCAAGCUAGCGCGCACGGGCGUGUUCCGCAGCACGGCCUGGGCAAGCUAGCGCGCACGGGCGUGUUCCGCAGCACGGCCUGGGCAAGCUAGCGCGCACGGGCGUGUUCCGCAGCACGGCCUGGGCAAGCUAGCGCGCACGGGCGUGUUCCGCAGCACGGCCUGGGCAAGCUAGCGCGCACGGGCGUGUUCCUCGGCACGGCUUGGGGCGUGCAUCUCUCUGUUUCUUAGUUUGUCUCGCCUUGUGCCAGACACGGCCGUGCUUCUCGACACGGGCUGGGACGUGCCAAUUGUACCUUGCUUUAUUUUUGUUCUUUUCUUUGCAAAAAUCCUACAAUUUUCUUUCCAAUCAAGUGAGUUGUGAUUAAAAGAAGCUUUUGAAUAAAAACACAGCAAUAUUACAUAAAAACCAAUUUAAAUAAAUUAAAAGUAAUAAAAAUUUCAAUCAAAAUUACAAUAAAAACACUAUAAAAAUCAACACUAUCAGAUUCCCUCUGGAAAAAAAGGACCUGCUCUCACUAGCUCAAUAUGAUGAAGUUUCUGGCCUUUAUGAGAAAAGCCUGAAGGAGAUGGAGUUGUAUUGGAAGCAUUUUGGUUACAGGGACUGUAGUCAAAUUAUAAGUUUUUUCAUGCUCAGGCCUCCUCUAGGCGCAAGAAAAAACAAGUCCUAAAAUCACAAAAUGAUGAUGGUGUCUGGAUGGAGAAAGGAAGAGGGCUGGAGGAGCUGAUAGUGUCUUAUUUUUCUAAGUUAUUCUCUUCCUCUGAUUGUGAAGGGUCGGUGGUAUUUUCUUGUGUGUAGCCUCUAGUUUCGGAUUCUCAUAAUCAAUUACUGAAUGCACCAUUUGUGGCAGAUAAGGUGAAAGAAGCUAUCUUUUCCAUGUUUCCAGAUAAGUCCCCUAGGCUGGGUGGUAUGAACCCAGGAUUUUUUCAAAAGCACUAGCAUAUAGUUGGACAAGAUGUAAUAGAGGCUUGUAUUCAUUAUCUCAAUGCAGGACAGUUUCCCCUCAGUUUGAACGAGACUCAUAUUGUGUUCAUCCCGAAGAAAAAAGAUCCCUAGUCUAUGGCUGACCUCCGUCCCAUUUCACUUUGCAACGUCCUCUACAAGGUCAUUGCUAAAGUCCUCGCCAACAAGUUGAAACUACUUCUUCUAGAUAUUAUCUCUCCAAAUCAAAGUGCCUUUGUCCCAUGUCGCUUAAUCUCUGAUAAUAUCAUGGUGGCUUAUGAGGUUAUUCACUAUCUCAAACGGAAGUGACAAGGUUCUUCUGGCAUGGCAGCGCUCAAGAUUGAUAUGAGCAAAACCUAUAUUAUCGAAUUGAAUGGGAGCUUCUUCGUGGUAUGAUGGAGAGAUGGGAUUUUGCAGGCCUUGGAUUGAUAAAAUUAUGCUUUGUAUCACUUCUGUUUGAUACUCAAUAUUACAAGAAGGGGAGGUUUUAGGUCCUAUUUUACUAAGAAGGGGAUUGAGACAAGGGUGUCCCUUAUCUCCUUAUUUAUUCAUAAUGUGCAUUGAAGGACUUUCUCUUUUGCUUCAAGAUAGAGAACGCCAUGGCCUAAUUACCGGAAUAUGUGUAGCUAAAGGAGCGCCUUCUAUAAGUCAUUUGUUCUUUGCUGAUGAUAGCCUCCUCUUUUCAACGCUGAAGAAUCGAUCUGUACUCAGUUAAAGGAGUGCCUAGCUUCCUACGAAAAGGCAUCAGGUCAAACUAUUAGCUUCCAAAAAUCUUUCAUUGCUUUCAGCGGAAACACGUGUCACGACGUGAAGGGCCGUAUUUAGGGGAUUUUGCAGGUGGGAGAAUCCUCUGAUUUGGGAUAUUAUCUGGGCUUGCCUUCCAUGGUGGGGAGAAAUAAAAAAGAGGUUUUUUCUUUCCUGAAGGACAAAAUAUGGAGAAGGAUACAAGGAUGGAGGAAAAUGCUCUUGUCUCGGGCAGGGAAAGAUGUGCUCCUUAAAUCUGUAAUUCAAGCACUUCCCACUUACACCAUGAGUAUUAAGGUAUUAAGGUUUUCUCUUUCCUCACCUAUUGUUAGCAUUGGAUGGGUAUUAAGGGAUGAGAGUUGUCUUAUGUUGAAGGCUUGCCAGGUAGAUCUUUGCGGAGGCUUUGAUCUUCUUGUUGCUAAAGCGCUUUCCUUUCGAGAGGUACUAAGCUGGACCAAGCGGAAUGGGUUCCAACGAGUUCAAUUUGAAACUAACUCUCUCUCUCUCUUGUUCAGUAUAUACAAUGUAGCAAAGCAAAUUCAUCUUAUUUUGGUUGUCCAGUUUUGGAUUGUAAAGCUAUGCUUAAAGAAGUUCCCUUAUGUUCUGUGUCUUUUUGUUCGAAGAUCAGCGAAUAGAGUUGCUCAUCUCCUUGCAACUCAUGCAUAUUCCAUGCUGAUCUGGAGAAGUGGAGUCACAUCCCUCCUAUUAUUGUUGACUCUUUGUUAGAUGAUUUGCUUUAAUGAAAUCUCCAGUUUUAAGUUUCAAAAAUAUCAAUAACCCUCUACUAGUAAGAGUAAUUGAUUUAUAAGAAUUAUGCAAUCAUUAUAAGUUUGAAUUCUCUAAAAAGAAAUUAUAGAAUUAGAGUUUCCUGUAGGAAAUGCGAAGCUCGGACUUUUAAAUGCUCCAGAAAUCUCAUCGGCAGGCAAGCACGUUCCUAUCACAGCUGGCCCAGCACUUCAUUAGUCUCGCGCACGACAUUUAUCCUUAGUCCUACUGCAACCGCGUCCCAGCUGCGCGAAACCCAUUACAGAAAAACCUUCAUUUCUCAUACUCGUGGCAUAACGUUCGCAAGAGACAUUGAACAUUAGACGCAGCGUUGAGCGUUUUAUACAUAUAAAAAAUCAGUUCAUGAACUCUUCAAACUCUAUAAUGUCUACAUUUUAUAAACAAAGAUGGUUGAAGUAGUGAUGUUACAGAUGAACAUUUUAUGAAUGUCACAACAUGAAAUGGUCAACGUAUUUGAGACUAAAUAAAUCAAUAAAUAUAUUAUGAAACGAGUUCAUCUUAGCAAGGCAUUUUUGCUAGCUACAAGCUAUAUGAAGCGAUCACAGGACUAGAACCAAAGCAUCACUUUUCAACUCCAGGAUUUUGGCAGAACCAGAGAAGAAAAUCUGGCAUUUGAAUUAAAAUGGCAGGGACAAAAAUUCUGUUGAUAGCUCUAUUUAUCUUUAUAAUAGCAUUCUAUCUGAUUCCAGUUAACGCCAAUUUCCGCAAGAGCAUGUAUUUCUAUUGGGGUGCUGAGCAUUCUGCGAUUCUUGGCAAUGGUGAUGAGCUUCAACUUGUUUUGGAUCAAACAUCAGGUAAUUAAUAACAUCGCAUCAGUCAUUCAUUCAACUACAUGUCGGACUGAAUCUUCAAUACUUAGGUUCCCUGAAAUUCGCACAAUGAGGUAAUCUAAUCAUAAUUACUCUGGAUUUCAGGUUCUGGCAUUAAAUCAAAGCGAUCAUUCUUGUUCGGAAGCAUUCAAAUGUUGAUCAAGUUGGUACCUGGAAACUCAGCUGGAACAGUCAAUGCCUACUAUGUAAGUGCAAUGAUUUAACUGACAUACAGGGCCCUGCAAAACAUAAACAUUGCACCUCAUUUUUCCAGGCUUUAAAUUUUGUUUUUUCCAUUAUAAUUUGGUCGUUUAAAGACACAUAAGUGAAACAUCAAUAGGCAAUUGCACGUGAAACAUUUUGCUGCAAGUGAAAUGUCAAUAGGCAUUCGCAAACGCUAUAGCCAGAGCAUGAACAUGCAAGUUUUGUGAAGCACUUAACAAUUUUUGCGAAUUUUUGCAGGUAUCUUCUGCUGGGGACAAACAUGAUGAGAUAGACUUCGAAUUUUUAGGGAAUGUCUCAGGCCAACCAUACAUCAUCCACACAAAUAUCUAUCUGCAAGGAAAUGGAAGCAAGGAACAGCAGUUCUACCCUUGGUUCGACCCAACUGCAGAUUUCCACAACUAUACAAUUCAUUGGAACCCUACUGCAGUAGUGUAAGUUAGCAGACUAUGUCGCUAACUUGCUUGCGCUAUAAAUUCAUUCUCAUUAACUCAUAUAAUUCAUACUUAAUCUAGAAGCCAAAUGAUACCUGACAUAAGCCAAAUGAUACCUGACAUUAAGAUUCAUCACUGCAAUUUUUCAGGUGGUACGUUGACGGCAUACCAAUACGUGUUUUCCGCAAUUAUGAGGAGGAGGGAAUUGCUUAUCCAAACAAACAAGGGAUGCGAGUUUACUCCAGCUUAUGGAAUGCAGACAACUGGGCAACUAAAGGCGGGUUAGUUAAGAUUGAUUGGAAUAGUGCACCAUUCAUAGCAACACAUCGCACUUUCAGGGCAAGAGCUUGCAAGUGGAAUGGACCGGUCAGCAUAAUUGAAUGUGCUUCCAACACUCCUGCUAACUGGUGGACAUCACCAACAUACAGCCAGUUGAGUUAUGGCAAGCAGGGUCAAAUGAAGUGGGUGAGAGAUAACUACAUGAUUUAUGAUUACUGCAAGGAUAUUAAGCGGUUCAAUGGACAGAUACCAGCGGAAUGUUUUAAACUACAGUUCUGAAAUUAAGGGUCCCGGUGUGUUUUCUAGAAGAAGACCAAUGAUACAAAAGCUCCAGUUUUUUUCUCCUACUAUCUGCAUACAACUGGGAAAUAAAUUUUGUCACGGUUUUGUGUUUAUUUCAUUUUCUCUUUUGUGAUUCAGGGUUGUUUUCAUUCAGUUAUAAAGAGAUCGAAUAUAUAUAACGCUUGAAAAAAAAAAGAAAGAAAGAAUACAAUCUUUGAUAUGCUUAUAUUGAUAAAAGUGUCAAAACCCUCAAACAGGGCAAUAUAAUCUUUAACAAUAACAAAUUAAGCAUAUCAGAACUCCUAAGCCAACAUUAAAACUAAAGCAAAUGAAGUGAGUAAUAUCUCAUUUCAAUGAGAAGCAAACAGUUAUAACAGGAUAGAUAAAUUAGGGGGAAAAUGCAGCACUAUAUAUAAUCACGUAAUACAAAGCCAAACACCAAUUAAAAUAAAAGCCGUACCCAACAAAGCCAACUCAAUCCGGGUCUCUUCCCCUAAUAGCAUCCCGAAAACAGCUGUAGCAGCAAAAGUUGUCGCGUUUGUAACGGGAACAGCCAGAGAUAUCGGCGCAUCGCUCAGGAGAGCGAAGAAAGUAGCGGAAGCUGAGAGAUUGAGCAAGAAAGGGACGGAGUAUUGCCAAAAUAAGAGAAGGCUGAGCAAUUUUUUAAGUGAAGAGAUCAGUUUUUGGUGAAGCUGUGGUGCGUGUACUGAAGAGGAGGAGAAUUUACCGGAUCGUUUGUCCCAGAGAAGUGCGCCACGGCGUAUUAAGGCGUUGGUCCCGCCCCAAAUUAGGCCCACCACCACCAUCUUUUCUAUAUCUCUUGCCAUCGUGGCCUGGUAGUGCGUCAGGAGUACGGUUGGAGGUGGAUCCGAUGUGGUGAUGGUUUUGGUGGAGUGGGAGUGCUAGGUAAACGACUUCGUUUGGCUAUUGCCGCGGCUAAUAUCAUUUGCUUUAAAUCCAUUUUGACUUUCGUGAAAACAGUUUCAGUAAAUCAUUAUAAAAAAAAAUAUUUGCCCACUAAUUAUGUACUCAUGUAAAAUUUGCGAGAAAUAAGUUUUUUUAAAAAAAAUAAUAGAACAGAUUUGAAGAUAAAUAUAAUUUUUAUAAGAUAAAAAUAAAUAUAAAGCGAUUCUAAUAUAUAAUUUUAAAAUAUUAUUGACAACAUAUUAAUAACAACAAUUCUAAAGUAAAUUAGACAUAAAUUUAGUAAAAAAAAGAAAACUAUUAAAUAUUAUUUUCAUAAAUAAAUUGGACCAAACUAAUAAUAGGAUUGAUUGUUCACAAAUCAUAAACCAAUUUGAAGUCAUUGUUACCUCGUUGUUUUGUGGUUUAGUAGGGAACUCCACUUUGGGCAUCUUAGGCAUAGCUGUACAUGAGUUCAUGAGCCCUCUUUGUGGGCCAUAGACCAUUGCAAAACUUAGCCACGAUCUCUCAGAACAUCCCUGAGCCCACCAACGCCUCUACUUGGCAAGCUAUUGGACAUAAUUAUUGCACAUAUAUACAAAUUUAAAGGCGGCUAUGAUUUGAAUCGUUUUAUAUAUAGAAAAAUGCGGCAAUUUUUAUUUAAUUAUUCAAUCUUACAAUAAUUUUCAAAUUUUAAUUACUUUCAGAUUAUUAAAUUAAUUUAUUAUUCUGAAAUUCAAAUGUUGACAUUGCUAGCCACUUCUUUCUGUAUUUAGUACUAAAAAUAUUAAAGACUAGAGUUUAAUUCAAUAUAAUUUGUUUAAAAUGUAUACUAAUAUGUUUACCAUGAAUAACUUUAACAUUGAACUUUUCAUAAAAAAAAAUUAUAACUUUUUAAAUUAAUAUUUAGAUGUUUUAUUAAAUUCAUUUACUUUUUACUUUAAAUUGAUGUUACAAAGUAAAAAUAAAAAAUUGAAAAAAUUGUUUAAUUUUGAUCUUGAAUAGAAAUUAAACCGAAAUGGAGAAUUAAAAAACAGUUAUAAGAACUGUGUGAGAGUGAUUUGAUUCCGAUUCUACCUUUUAUAUAAAACCGAAAUCUUGCAAUCAUGGUUCUAAGUUCUAACCAUAGUCAUGCUUAAAUGUACAUAUUGCAAUACCACGUAGAUUAGCGAGCCACCAAUCCUAUUUCUACAAACAUAAACCUUUCAUGCUUGCCAGUUAAAUAAAAUAAAUUGACAAUAAUACCCUUUUAAGAGGUAGUAAUUUCGCCUCCUCUUUAAUGGAUAGAACAAACUUACCAAGGAACAAAAACCAAACAACAGUACCCUUAAACCUGACAAGAUUGUUAGUGGUCAACACGUCAACGCAAUCUCACCUAACCCAAAUCCCAAAACUACCCUUAAAAAUUUCCCACUUUAUCCUCACCAAUCCGUAGCCACGUUUCCCUUUCUCUCUAUUGUCGUCUGUUGCCGAGUUCUUCUUCUGUGUGGUUUCAGUUUCCCAUGGAUUGUUGAACAGCCAAAGUCUCUUUCUCUUCCUCUUUCCAUUUUCAUUUCUUAGUAGAUCAUAAAAGAUCCUUAAAACACUAUAAGGCACUUUCUCUAUUUUCAUGCUCGUUAGAUUCGAUAGAGUACAUCGAUUUAUACUAGUAGAUUAAGAGCUGAUGGAGCGUAUCGUCGGCGGCAAGUACAAGCUUGGCCGGAAGAUCGGAAGUGGAUCCUUCGGUGAAAUCUAUCUCGGUUAGUUAUAGUUCUGAUUAUGUCUGUUCGUUUUUGCUGCUGAUUUGUUUUCAAUGAAUUUAUAUGUGUAUUUUUUUGUUUUUUUUUUUUUUUGCAGCUACACAUAUCGAUACGUUUGAGAUCGUCGCUGUUAAGAUUGUAAGUUUUUUUAUUAAUUGUUUUUUAAAUUUUAUUCAAUUUUUAGGUGUGUUAAACUGUUACAAGGAUCAUGAUUGGAUCAUGUACGCUACUGUAAUAGUUGAAUCACCGUGGAUAGGCUGGGGUUGACUUUUAGGUAUUUAGUUGAAUUGAAUUUGAUAUGAUUUCUUUGAGUGAUUUUGCAGGAGAACACUAAAACAAAGCAUCCGCAGUUGCUUUACGAAGCCAAGUUGUACAAUCUUCUUCAAGGAGGCAGUAAGUGGAAUUACUCGCCAUUGGCAUGAUUCCUUGUGGUUAGUAAUUAAGUUUGCUAAAUUCCGAGUUUAAUUUUGUAGGUGGUAUUCCCAGCAUAAAAUGGUCAGGUGUUGACGGGGAGGAGAAUAUACUGGUGCUUGAUUUGCUAGGGCCGAGCCUCGAGGACUUGUUUGUGUAUUGUGGGAGGAAGUUCUCGCUGAAGACGGUGUUGAUGUUGGCUGAUCAAAUGGUGAGUUCGGCUUGACACACUUAUUUCUUGCACUCAAAUGCUGAUAGCU